rnacentral:rRNA from 1 species
CAGAGGGUGCGAGCGUUAAUCGGAAUUACUGGGACGUAAAGCGAGUGUAGGUGGCUCAUUAAGUCACAUGUGAAAAUCCCCGGGCUUAACCUGGGAACUGCAUGUGAUACUGGUGGUGCUAGAAUAUGUGAGGGGGAAGUAGAAUUCCAGGUGUAGCGGUGAAAUGCGUAGAGAUCUGGAGGAAUACCGAUGGCGAAGGCAGCUUCCUGGCAUAAUAUUGACACUGAGAUUCGAAGCGUGGUAGCAAACAGGAUU